CGGUAAUUCCAGCUCCAAUAGCGUAUACUAAAGUUGUUGCAGUUAAAAAGCUCGUAGUUGGAUUUCUGCGGGGACGGAGCGGCCGGUCGCAACUUGCGACUCGAGCUAGCGCUUUCCCCGCAUCCUGCCGCGAACCGUGCUACCAUUAGUUUGGUGGCGCUGGGGAUCGGCUCGAUUACUUUGAGAAAAAUAGAGUGUUCAAAGCAGGCCACACGCCUUGAAUAAGUUAGCAUGGAAUAAUGACUAAGGACUUUGGUUCUUUUCGUUGGUGUUCGGGACUGAAGUAAUGAUUGAUAGGGACAGUUGGGGCGGUCCGUAUUCCAAAGCGAGAGGUGAAAUUCUUAGACCUUCGGAAGACGAACAGCUGCGAAAGCGUUCCGCAAGGAUGUUCCCUUUGAUCAAGAACGAAAGUUGGGGGAUCGAAGACGAUCAGAUACCGUCGUAGUCUCAACUAUAAACUAUACCAGCUAGGGAUCGGCCAACGUUUAAUUAUUCGACUUGGUCGGCACCUUAUGAGAAAUCAAAGCAUCUGGGUUCCGGGGGGAGUAUGGUCGCAAGGCUGAAACUUAAAGGAAUUGACGGAAGGGCACCACCAGCCGUGGAGCCUGUGGCUUAAUUUGACUCAACACGGGAAAACUUACCAGGUCCGGACAUAGUAAGGAUUGACAGAUUGAUAGCUCUUUCUUGAUUCUGUGGGUGGUGGUGCAUGGCCGUUUUUAGUCGGUGGAUGUGAUCUGUCUGGUUAAUUCCGUUAACGAACGAGACCCCAGCCUGCUAAAUAGCGCGGCUGAGCUUUGCUCGGUGCGAGCUUCUUAGAGGGACUAUGAUGCGCGAUAGCGCAUGGAAGUUUGGGGCAAUAACAGGUCUGUGAUGCCCUUAGAUGUUCUGGGCCGCACACGGGCUACACUAGCGCCUGCAACGAGCAUAUCAGCUGGCCCGAGAGGGUCUUGGCUAAUCUUUUGAACCGGCGCCGUGCUUGGGAUUGACCCUUGCAAUUGUUGGUCAUGCAACGAGGAAUGCCUUGUAAACGCGAGUCAUCAGCUCGCAUUGAAUACGUCCCUGCCCUUUGUACACACCGCCCGUCGCUCCUACCGAUGAAUGUUCCGAUGAAAUUUUCGGAGAGCGCCAGAGAACGGGGCUCUGCCUUGCAGAUCUGGAGGCUCAAAGUCACUUAAAUCUGAACAUUUCGAGGAAGGAGAAGUCGUAACAAGGUAGCCG
rnacentral:rRNA from 1 species